UACUAGAGUAGCACUCGCAUAUCAAUAAGCGGAGGAAAAGAAACUAACAAGGAUUCCCCUAGUAACGGCGAGUGAAGCGGGAAGAGCUCAAAUUUGAAAUCUUAAAGGGUUUCCCUUUACGAAUUGUAGUUUAAAGAAGUGUUUUCUGUUGAGGUUUUGGUAAAAGUUCUUUGGAAUAGGACAUCAUAGAGGGUGAGAAUCCCGUAUUUGACCUUUACUUUCAACUUUGUGAUACACUUUCAAAGAGUCGGAUUGUUGGGAAUGCAGUCCAAAAUGGGUGGUAAAUUUCAUCUAAAGCUAAAUAUUGGCGAGAGACCGAUAGCGAACAAGUACCGUGAGGGAAAGAUGAAAAGAACUUUGAAAAGAGAGUUAAACAGUACGUGAAAUUGUCAAAAGGGAAGCGUUUGACACCAGUGUUGUUUUUCUGAAAAUCAAUUAAAGAACUGUUUAUGCUAAGCUGUUUAGACUUUAUCAGCUAUCUGUUUAGUUUUGAGCUUUUCUUUAAUGCACUUUUCAGUUAACAAGUCAACAUCAAUUUCUUUUGCUGUAAAAAAGCUUGAGGAAGGUGGCUUGAGAUUCGUCUUAAGUGUUUAUAGCCUCUUGCCUAUGCAGUCGGAGAGAUUGAGGUCUGCAGCGUAGAUCCUUCGGGGCUAAAUGCAUUUGUGCUAAGUUAUAGCAUUUUAUAGACAACUUGUUGACUAUGAUUUGUCUUGUAGCUUACUCGCUUAUGUUAUUUUACCUACGCUUAGGAUGUUGAGCGCAUGUCUCUCUCU
rnacentral:rRNA from 1 species